rnacentral:tRNA from 1 species
GUUUAUUAGGGGGUUGGUUGGAAGGAUGGUCUAAACCGUUGGUUUUCGACCGCUACGACCCGGGUUCGAUUCCCGCAUUGGACA